UCCCUGAUGGUCCAGUGGUUGGGACACGGCACUUUCACUGCCACGGCCUGGGUUCAAUCCCUGGUUGGGAAC
rnacentral:tRNA from 1 species